CUCCCGCUAGCUCAGUCGGUUAGAGCACUUGCCUUUUAAGCAAGGGGUCGAAGGUUCAAUUCCUUCGCGGGAGACCA
rnacentral:tRNA from 1 species